GUGAGGAAUAUUGGGCAAUGGGCGAAAGCCUGACCCAGCCACGCCGCGUGAGUGAUGAAGGCCUUCGGGUUGUAAAGCUCUUUCAGUGGGGAAGAUAAUGACGGUACCCACAGAAGAAGCCCCGGCUAACUCCGUGCCAGCAGCCGCGGUAAUACGGAGGGGGCUAGCGUUGUUCGGAAUUACUGGGCGUAAAGCGCACGUAGGCGGAUCGGAAAGUUGGGGGUGAAAUCCCAGGGCUCAACCCUGGAACUGCCUUCAAAACUAUCGGUCUGGAGUCCGAGGGAGGUGAGUGGAAUUCCGAGUGUAGAGGUGAAAUUCGUAGAUAUUCGGAGGAACACCAGUGGCGAAGGCGGCUCACUGGCUCGGUACUGACGCUGAGGUGCGAAAGCGUGGGGAGCAAACAGGAUUAGAAACCCUGGUAGUCC
rnacentral:rRNA from 1 species